UCUUUACACAGACUCCCUGUGCAGUAUAGAAUUGAUUUUAAGAUUUUGCUGAUAACGUACAAGGCCCGGAGUGGAUUAGCAUCUAGUUAUUUGCAGGAGUUAUUUACCCUAGAUCUUCAACAGGAGAUCACAGGAUCCGGGCAGCCGGUUAUUCCUAAGGUCAACAAACCAACACGGGAGGUCCUCUGGUGAGACGUGGCACUCGUACUCCUCCGUUCCGGGAGGUCUGGGUUUACACUUCCCACAGCAGCAGUUACAGCAGCAACACAGGCAGCAGCAGAAAUAGCAGCCUGUUAGCAGACCGCAGAUUGCAAAGAAACCCUGGGCAAUGUGAAAGAAAGGACACAGAUACUAAAGCAUUUCUACAUUAUUCAUAAAACGUGCAGAGGUGCAUCCGUGUUGCAGCUUCAUUACAUUACCACUGUGAGAACGUUGAAAACAGGACUGGCCACUACAUCCUGAAACCUUGACCUGUAAACAAAGGUUUCCCACAAUCAUUGUACUGUACCUCUAGAACUUUCUUAGAUACAGAAUGUGAUACUGAACCUGAAAAGCAUUAAUUUAGUGUACUGUGCCUUCCUUUGGGUGGCUAAAGAUAACAAGAGCUAUGUAUCAGAAUACGUAACAUUUUUAACUUUGCAACAAUGUGAAACUUUAUUUUUGAGACUUUUUGAGACUUCAAGUGAUAUAAACAUAAAUAGUGUCUGAAAACAGAACUUGGUUUCAGCUCAGAUUUUCUGUUAUGGCCAAAAAAAAGUAGUUGAAUAAAUACAUCACAAAAUUUUAGUCAAUAUUAAAUAAUUAGUAUAAAUAAAAAGCACACCCAAAUAAUCCCCAGUCUAGCACUGCUGUCUCUCCUGUGAGAUCAGGACAAGUCUUUCAAUUAGUAUUAAGUACUCCUCUGUUGGGAAAGGUAGCAGAGGUAAGCAUACAAGGAUGUAAAUAACAAAUCCCCAGAGCAACAUGGAGGUGUGUUGCAUAUCCACUUGAAAACACUGCAUUCCAAACACUGCACACAAUGGGAUUGUCCAUGUAGCUGAUUCCAGCCCAGGGGAUAGAUAGAGAGUUUACUAGUGCAUACACUUUAAGAACUCAUUUGGUUGAUUGCCCUAGAUUAGAAUUCUCAUUGGAGACCUAGAAAUGUAGCAGCAAAAAAAAAAUAAAUAAAUAAAUAAAUAACAUAAGCACCAUUGAAAGACUGCUUUGUAGUUUUCAUUAAAAUAGAGUGAUAUAGUUAAGCACUUUCAAAACAAUAAAACGCAAUCAAACAAAGUCUACAUCCACAGCUCUAUUUACAGGCAAAAGAUGGCUGCUUUCAAAACAUUUACUCCAGUCUUUAAUUAACUUUUAUUUGUUUUUUGAAAGAAGCAAACACCUGUUAAUUUUACAAAGCUGUAGGCUUGGUGGUCCAGUGGUUGAAGAAAGGGGCUUGCUGCUGGUUCAGUCCCAGCCACUGACUCAGUGUGUAUGACCCCCAGCAAGUCACUUAACCUAUCGUAAA